rnacentral:rRNA from 1 species
GGGGGAAUUUUGGACAAUGGGCGAAAGCCUGAUCCAGCCAUGCCGCGUGAGUGAAGAAGGCCUUCGGGUUGUAAAGCUCUUUUAGUCGGAAAGAAAGAGUCGCAAUGAAUAAUUGUGAUUUAUGACGGUACCGACAGAAAAAGCACCGGCUAACUACGUGCCAGCAGCCGCGGUAAUACGUAGGGUGCGAGCGUUAAUCGGAAUUACUGGGCGUAAAGGGUGCGCAGGCGGUUUUGCAAGUCAGAUGUGAAAGCCCCGGGCUUAACCUGGGAAUUGCGUUUGAAACUACAAGGCUAGAGUGCAGCAGAGGGGAGUGGAAUUCCAUGUGUAGCAGUGAAAUGCGUAGAGAUGUGGAAGAACACCGAUGGCGAAGGCAGCUCCCUGGGUUGACACUGACGCUCA